rnacentral:rRNA from 1 species
CGAUGAACCACUUCGGUGGGGAUUAGUGGCGAACGGGUGAGUAACACGUGGGCAAUCUGCCCUGCACUCUGGGACAAGCCCUGGAAACGGGGUCUAAUACCGGAUAUGACCAUCUUGGGCAUCCUUGAUGGUGUAAAGCUCCGGCGGUGCAGGAUGAGCCCGCGGCCUAUCAGCUUGUUGGUGAGGUAACGGCUCACCAAGGCGACGACGGGUAGCCGGCCUGAGAGGGCGACCGGCCACACUGGGACUGAGACACGGCCCAGACUCCUACGGGAGGCAGCAGUGGGGAAUAUUGCACAAUGGGCGCAAGCCUGAUGCAGCGACGCCGCGUGAGGGAUGACGGCCUUCGGGUUGUAAACCUCUUUCAGCAGGGAAGAAGCGAAAGUGACGGUACCUGCAGAAGAAGCGCCGGCUAACUACGUGCCAGCAGCCGCGGUAAUACGUAGGGCGCGAGCGUUGUCCGGAAUUAUUGGGCGUAAAGAGCUCGUAGGCGGCUUGUCACGUCGGUUGUGAAAGCCCGGGGCUUAACCCCGGGUCUGCAGUCGAUACGGGCAGGCUAGAGUUCGGUAGGGGAGAUCGGAAUUCCUGGUGUAGCGGUGAAAUGCGCAGAUAUCAGGAGGAACACCGGUGGCGAAGGCGGAUCUCUGGGCCGAUACUGACGCUGAGGAGCGAAAGCGUGGGGAGCGAACAGGAUUAGAUACCCUGGUAGUCCACGCCGUAAACGGUGGGCACUAGGUGUGGGCAACAUUCCACGUUGUCCGUGCCGCAGCUAACGCAUUAAGUGCCCCGCCUGGGGAGUAC